GGAUCCGUGGCGCAAUGGUAGCGUGUCUGACUCCAGAUCAGAAGGUUGCGUGUUCGAUUCACGUACUUGGGUUCA